AAUCUCGAAAACUGCAGCACAUCGAACGAAACAAAAUGAAUUCAACGCGUGAAGGUUUGGGUACUUCAACCCACAGAUUCACCAAACUGGAAUUUUUCCAUAACAUAAAAAGUAUUUCGAAAGAUGACAUCUCAGUUAUUCAUGCGAGAACCGAAAAAUUUUUAUCCGACAAACAAGCUUUACCAUACUUUUUGUCAGAUGACGAUAAAAGGAUAAUAUCCGAUUUGGUGUCCAAGCUGAGGACAAAAUGGAAUGUCAGUAAUAGAACAGAGGUGAAUUUUGACAAGAAAAAUCAUGAUUGGUUGCAGAAAUCUGUUGAACUAACAAAAAUAUAAAAAGCACAGAUUUAGAAACAACAGAAACUGAUGAAAAGCAGCCCAAGGCAGGUCGGCCACAACUCAGUUUUGCAGAGUCCUCUGCACGAAGUAAACGCAGAAGAACAGAACAUUCACGAACGUCAACAUCAACGGAAGAAAUCCUUUAUUCUGUAACAAGUGAAUUGCGGUAUGAAAGAAAAACUGAUUUUGCAAAAGUGGUGCAUGAUAUUUCACAAGGGAGUCCUACUAAAGCUACAAAGUAUAUCAAAUCUCUGGACAUCGUAAUCACUAAUCUACCUUUCACAAAUGACGAGGCUUUAUCGUUGUUCAUAGAACUUGGUUUAUCACAAAGUAAAUAUCAGUAGCUGCGUGAUGCUCAUUUGCAAAAAAAAUUAAAGAUGCUUCCAUCAUAUGAAAAGCUACGUAUAGCAAAAUUACAAUGUUAUCCAGCUUCAGGUCUUACUAUUACUGCAAAUGAAGCUGAAGUGGAGUUAAAACCUUUAUUAGAUUACACAAUCGAACGUAUCAUUCGUUAUCAAAUGGAAGUUAUGAAAACAUUAUCAGAGAUUAAACUCGCAAAUUUAACUUUAAUUGGUGAGUGGGGCUGCGAUGGUAGUUCAGGACAUAGUGAAUAUAAGCAAAUGGUCGAU